ensembl:lncRNA
AGGACCUUUACCGUUGGAGUUAUUAUCUCCCAACUAUUCAACUUUAUGGGUCUUUCAUCAUGUGGGGGGGUUGGGGGGGAGAUGUGGUUAGUGGUAAUGGUGGGGAGGUUGUUUUAAAGAAUGCUCCCCUUAUCUUCGGUAGGGAAAUAAGAAACAACAGUCCCAUCCAUUAUUUGGCAGAAUUCACCUGCAUGCAAAAUACUCUCUAGCUUUUAUUGUCAGACAUUUAAUUUGCGUGUGUGUGUGCGUGUGUGAGGGGACGGGAGCUGGCUCUGGCCUGGCCCUCGGGGAGGGCACAGGGCUGGGAGAGCCGCAGCUCCGCAGAGAGCUGAAAACGCUGUGCCAUGGGGACCUGAGGGAGGGUGGUUGAACCUCAAGCCUAGCCCUCUUUUUAGUUUUCUUUUUUUCUUUUCUUUCUCUCUCUCUCUCUCUUUUUUUUUUUUUUUUUUUUUUUUUUUUUUUCCUCCAACGUCGUUUUAAAGUCACCGGAGGGAAAAGGAAAAGAAAAGCGAAAUGUGAAACCGAAGAGGAACGUCUAUAAAAACUUACAUGUUGAGCCAGCUUUAACACUGCAGCCACAUUCGACUCGGAGUAGCACCCGUACCGGCCGGCCUGGGGCGAGCCAGUUCUCUGAUGGAGACUUGACAAGUAACAUCAAACAUGGCCCAAGAACAAAGCUAACCAACCACGGCCUGAAGCAUCCUUCAACCAAAAGUCACCUUUAGUCAAGCUUUGCCAUCUAAUUUGCAGUGUUUCUGUUUGUACUCUUCAGGCAGAAGAACUAAAACUCUUACAGUGUAAAGCUCUCUUGGUUUCUGCUCAGUAAGAUUACAUUGAGGAUGCUGCAACUAUUUAACACUUUUAGCAACCUUUGGCUGCAGCCAUCCUGGUGUUCUCACUUCAGAAAUGCAGAUCCAAGCCCACUACCUUUUUCCUACUGUUUAUUUGUGUGUGUGUGUGUUUUAAUGUGUCCUGAAUAACACUGCUGUAAGACUCCAAUUUUAAAGUGCAACUUAAUCCCCUUCUGUGCCAGUGUCCUGAAACAGAGCUAAAUUACCUUCAUAGAUUAUUGUUUUUUUAAUUUAGUUGGGUCAAAUAGAUGGCAAUGCUAUAUCUCACUGAGUGAAAGACUGCAAUGACUUGUUUGCUUGAAUCAAAGUAAACAAAGACAGUAGACAGGUCCUUCUCUCAAGAGGAAAAAUCCUUACAAAAAGGAAUGUCACCAGCAAAAAUCAUCAACUCAUGGAGACAAUAAGAAGAGGAAAAAAUGAACCUUAUAAUACAGAGUAAUUUUCCACUUUGAAGGAUGGCCAUACAAACUCAUUAAGCAUAGCAUUAACAUUCAAGGCUUUAACAAUCAGGAUUUUUUGGGGGGGGGACUCUCAAAGAUCUCAUGAUUUUCUAAAAACUUGAAUCAUUAACUUGAGACCUAGGUGAUCAUUAAAAUAUGCCAUCACUUGCUUUAUUCAGUAUUUAACUGUCCUUCUGGAUUCACAAGUACUCAGAUAAAGGUUAUACAAAUUGUGUUUUGCUCUGUACAGAUUUCAACUCCUAAUACCACAUGAACCAACAGCAUUUGGUAAGAAGUUCCACUCUGUGUAUGACCCUCAGUGUCUGCUCUGAGUAGGCUGAAGUUGUGCCAGAGAUCUACUGAUUGGAUCCUGAGUUUUCCCUCUGAAGACUGGCUGCUGAGGAGGACUGUGAUAAGAACUACCAUACAGGAUAAUCCAAUAAGCCAAUGUUAAAAGUAUGCUGACACUCAAAGGCAAGCACCAGUCAUUUUUUAAAAACAGCUUUUCCAGAAAGCAAAACAAAACAAAAACCAGAGCCUUUUCUAAUUUUACUUUAUUUUAUUGAGUUAUGCUUCCUUUAUUAAGACUCAUGAUUUUUGGACUGCCUACUCUUCUCAAUUCUCAAAGGAAGAUUUGUCAGGAGGAAGACAGGGAAGAAAUUAAAGGGAAGGACAGUUUCUCUGUUGUAAAUGAAUUUUCUUUGUUCUUUACUUUUUAUGAUGGUCUUUAUAUUUAUAUUUUAUGUUGAUAAAAUACAGCUGUAAUUAGGAUUAUUCCUCUUCCUGCACUUCCUUCAUUUAUUUGUCCCCAUCUCCGAUUCAUUUUGUUUCUUCCUUCCUUUUAUGUAUCACUAUUUUUGCCUCUGCACUUCAAUCUCCAGUAAUUUAUGUCCCAGUGGAAUUAUAUCAGCUCAUCCUCAGUAGAAGAGUUCUAUGUACCCUUCAACAGUUACAUUAAAGACAAUAAAAUUCUUGGAUUUCAUAUACAUAUAUGCCAAUCUCUUUCUUGUGUGUUUGGCGUUCUGCCACAGAUAUUCCCUUUUUCAACAAAACACCUUCUCCAGAGUGAUUCCAACCAUGCCACAAAUAAGAUAGCUACAAAAAACUUAGGCUAAGACUUCAGACAGGGUUGCAUGUUGUAUGUUUCGAAUAUCUUAGCAAUAUCUGUCAGUACUUCUACCACCUUCACUGAAACAGAUAUAGAUAAUCUUUGAUUACAUUUACAAAAUAAUUGACUGUUCCCCUUGCUUCUAUUGUCUUUCCACUGUUCUCUAUUCUUCACAUCCUACUCCUCUCUAUUCUAUUCUUUUGCCUGACUAAUUUAGAUUGCAUGCUUUUUGAAGCAUCAUUCUUAUCAUUUUAUGGGCUCUGCUUAGCGCACAUGAACAAACUCCCAUCAGUUUGGAUGUGUAUCAGUUUGGAUGUAUAUAUAUGUGUGUAUAUGUAUGUAUAUAUAUAUAUAUAUGGGUGUCAUGUAAUGCCAG